CUUGGAAGAAGUGCAUCCUACUAGAUGUUUAUAUGAACCUAAGCGUCAUAACCCACAGAAGUGGAGCACAUGGUUAAUAAACUGGAAUACGGAAUCAGUUUUAAAAGACUUGAAUUAUUUUCCUUUCAUUAUAGUUUAUAAAAUAUAUUCAAUUUAAGGUGUCAUUUUUAUGUGUUUCCAUAACUUGUGCCAUUACAGACGUUUAUUUGAAAAUACAAUUGUGACUGUUUUUACAUACCAUUGGAUUUCUUGAUGUUAAUUUUAGGACAUUUAUAUGAAGGCAACACUUCUUUACUGAUUCCUGUUAUGUUCUGGGCUUGUGUGUUAGGUGAUGUUCGCUUGGCCCUGAAAUCAGUCUGGAAUUUCUUCUGCUAUGAAUUGCCUGGAGAAGUCUUGCUAUUGGAAUACUAGUAUCUAUUCUCCCUACUUAUAAAAUAACCAACCUUCCACUUACGAAACUGACAYUUUGUUGUCAAACUAUGGCUUGGUAGUGCUGCUGCCUGAAUUAAAGGAAUGUGGUGGAUGGAAGUGUUAGUAAAAAGAUUACUCAGGAGUGAGUUCUUGGUAGGAAUAGUUAUCUGAAGUAAAGAUGUUAUUGCACUGAGAAAAAGAUACAUGCAGAACACCCACUGUAAGUAGCUGUAAGUAAAUUCUUUCAAUUCAUCUUUAGGAGUUUUAUUAGAAAUUGAUGCAAUACUUUCAGAAUUGGGGCGUAAACAUAACUAAAAUAUUUUUGCAGUUGCAUGGGUUGCAGAGAUACAUGAAAUAAAUCUGUACAGAACCUUAUGGAAUGAGACUACGAAAAGCUGCAAGCCACGAGCUAAUGCAUAGGCUUUGUCUUUUGCAUUUAUCUCUGCUGCAACUUGUAAUCCUUUCAGAGCACAAGAAUGCUGAAGUAGAAUUGGAAGAGGAAAUUCAGUCUGUUCUUCAUGAAGCUCUCCAUUCCCAGUCUGGAGGGAGACAUGAAGAUGUAGAUGAAAGCAUAAAUGACCAGUGGCAAGUGAAGGAAGAAAUACAUGAAGAAGCUUUUGGAACUCCUACAGCAGAUGACUUACAUGGAGAAUCAGAGAAUGAAAUGCCAGAAGCAUAUGAGUUGCCAGAUUCAAUUCAGAAAGAAACUGAUGUUUUAGCAGAUGAUCUUGGAGCAAUGGAGCCUGAAACGUAUGAAGUUCCAGUUUCAUUUGAUUAUGAUAUGGGUGUGGAAAACACAGUAAGUGAGCCAGAAGCUCCAGGUGAUACUGAGCUAAUGCGAGAAGAUGCUAUUGAACAUCAUACAGAGGACAGAGUGCAUGGGGAUUACAAUGAAGAACACGAACCAAAACAGGAAGAGGAGACUGGGAGCCAAGAUACAGCUGUCGAGGACGUUCCUGAGGAGAUAAAUGAAGUCACAGAGCCGGAUGAAGUUAUUGAAGAUUUGGAAAUUGAUGAAAAGCUGUCAGUAGAAAGUAAACAUACCGAAGAUAAAGUGGCGACUGAGCCUGAGGAAUCAGAUACUUAAAGCUUCAAAAGAAAAGUCCUACAUCAGGAGGACCGGCCCUAACCAUACGCUACAAAAGGGGAGCAGAUGGUUGUAAUAGACCUCACGAUGUAAUUACUGAGCAGUUCAGGGUUUGGGGAGUGAACACUAAAAUAUUGUAAAUGGGUUAUAGCCAACUGUCAUUUUAGUACGCUUUUUUUAACAUUUGGAUGUUUAAUUUACAUUCCUGUCUGAUUUUUUCUUGUCAAGUUCAGUGAAUUCAUUAGUUUCAUUUUUCUUCUGUGUUUGUGACAGGCUUGUGAGUUUGAUCUGCAUUUUAUAUGUGCUGUUCAAGCAAUUUGUUAAUAUUCUAUUUAUAAUGUAGCAGCAAGCACAUUUUUUCAGAUUUUAAUAUAUAUCUUUUGUUGUGGAUUCAUACAGUAUGUAUAGAGCAGUUUGGUCAAAUGAAGCGCAUAAUAUUAUGAAUUUUUACGUGUUUUAUAACUGCUGAUAUAGCAUACAGCCUAAAUGCAUUUUAUUGGAAACAGUAAUCAGACACACACCGAGCUGUGAAGUUUGACCUAUAUCUCUUUGCACUGAUGUUAUGUCAUCAGUUACACUACAUCAAUUUCAGGUCAUUUAAAAUAGUCUAACAAUUUACAAAAUGCGUAUGUUUAAUUCGUAGCAGUAAAAUGGCAGAUUACUAAAUUACUUUUUUCAGAAACCUUUUAUGUAUGAAUUACAGCAUUUUAUUUAUGCACAUUUGAUUUUAAAGCAAAAAGAAGUCUUGAAACUACAUAAUGGUCUGACAGGGAGUCAGUGAAGAUUGAAACAUAGCUGAGUAGCUAGUAUCAAGUUGAGUUUAGUAAAAUUCUUCUAUUUUGCCCACAAAUAUAAUGGUACCACAGCUGGAUUCAGGAAGCUGGAUUCAGUGAACUCUUGACAAAGUUAAAUUUGCAUAAAUACUGGGCUUGUAAAUAAAAAAAAAAAAAUCAGCUUUGGAACUUUAACC
rnacentral:lncRNA from 1 species